UGGGGAAUAUUGCACAAUGGGCGCAAGCCUGAUGCAGCCAUGCCGCGUGUAUGAAGAAGGCCUUCGGGUUGUAAAGUACUUUCGGUCGGGAGGAAGGUGGUAAGGUUAAUAACCUUAUCAAUUGACGUUACCGACAGAAGAAGCACCGGCUAACUCCGUGCCAGCAGCCGCGGUAAUACGGAGGGUGCAAGCGUUAAUCGGAAUUACUGGGCGUAAAGCGCACGCAGGCGGUUUGUUAAGUCAGAUGUGAAAUCCCCGGGCUCAACCUGGGAACUGCAUCUGAUACUGGCAAGCUUGAGUCUCGUAGAGGGGGGUAGAAUUCCAGGUGUAGCGGUGAAAUGCGUAGAGAUCUGGAGGAAUACCGGUGGCGAAGGCGGCCCCCUGGACGAAGACUGACGCUCAGGUGCGAAAGCGUGGGGAGCAAACAGG
rnacentral:rRNA from 1 species